rnacentral:rRNA from 1 species
UCAAGCAAGAAGAGGUUUGCGGCGGAUGCCUGGGAGCUGUCCGGCGAAGAAGGCCGCGGUAAGCUGCGAAAAGCUGCGGGGAGGAGCACACAUCCUGAGAUCCGCAGAUAGCCGAAUGGGGUAACCCGUAUGCCGCAAGGCAUACACCGCGCGCGGGAAGAAGAUACUGCGGCGGAGCGAUACUGCGUGAAGUGAACCAUCUAAGUAACGCGGGAAGAGAAAUCAAAAGAGAUUGCGCAAGUAGCGGCGAGCGAACGCGCAGGAGCCUAAACCCUUAUGUAGGGUGUUGCAGGGCCGCACGGGGAUGACCCGUGGAGUUGGGAAAAAACCGAUAUGUAGCGGAAGCGUCUGGAAAGGCGCGCGAGACAGCGUGAAAGCCGCGUAUGCGAAAGAUAUCGGACUCCAUGGUGCGGUACCUAAGUAGGGCGGGGCACGAGAAACCCUGUUUGAAUCCGGGUCGACCACGAUCCAAGGCUAAAUACGAGACAGCUACCGACAGCGAAGAGUACCGUGAGGGAACGGCGAAAAGAACCCCGGUGAGGGGAGUGAAAGAGAACCUGAAACCGCAAACCGACAAGAUGUCACGGCGCGCGAGCGUUGUGGCGUGUCUUUUGUAGAAUAAACCUGCGAGUUGCGAUGCGCGGCGAGGCUAAGGGUUGGGAGAUCCGGAGCCGGAGCGAAAGCGAGUGUGAAAAGUGCGAAAAGUCGCGUGUCGCAGACCCGAAGCCAAGGUGAUCUAAUUAUGGGCAGGCUGAAGGCAGGGUGAAACCUGUUGGAGGGCCGAACAGUAAUCUGUUAAAAAAGGUAGUGAUGACUUGUGACUAGGAGUGAAAGGCUAAACAAACCUGGAAAUAGCUGGCUCUCCCCGAAAUGCCUUUAGGGACAGCCUCAUGCAAAGCGGAAGGAGGUAAAGCACCGGAUGGGAUAGGGGGCGUCACAGUCUACCGACACCAAUCGAACUCAGAAUGCCAUCCGCCAACGCAUGGGAGUGAGACUGUGUGCUCCAAGGUUCAUAGUCGAGAGGGAAACAGCCCGGACCGACGGCAAAGGUCCCGAAAUAACGCUCAGUGUGAAAUGAGGUGCGUCUGCACAGACAGCCAGGAGGUUGGCUUAGAAGCAGCCAUUCCUUAAAAGAGUGCGUAACAGCUCACUGGUCGAGCAGGCGUGCGCAGACAAUGUAACGGGGCUAAGCGUUAUACCGAAGCCGCGGGUCCGCAUCUAGUGAUGCGGGCGGUAGGGGAGCAUUGCGCUAACCGAAGAAGGCGUACCUGUGAGGGGCGCUGGAGGAAGCGGAAGAGAGAAUGCAGGCACAAGUAACGAAAAGACGGGUGAGAUUCCCGUCCGCCGAAAGCCUGAGGAUUCCCGGGUAAAGGCAAUCUGCCCGGGGUAAGUCGGCCCCUAAGGCGAGGACGAAAGUCGUAGUCGAUGGGAAAUCGGUUCAAAAUCCGAUACCCGGCUCAGUUUUGAAGGCAGGACGCAUGAGGUGAAAUCCGGCAGGAGAACGGUAGAUUCUGUCCAAGCGGUAAGGUGUUGAGAGGGCGGUUAAAAGAGCCCUUGAGCUGAGCCGUUACGGGGAGCGGAGCGCAGGCGAAGCGAAGCGGAUGUAAUCAAGGUGCCGGGAAAUACUGUCUAAAGCUAGGCUGAGUCGGACCGUACCGGAAACGGACACACGCAGGCAGGAUGAGUAAUCUAAGGCGCACGAGCGACCCCGCGUUAAGGAACUCGGCAAAAAGCACACGUAACUUCGGAAGAAGUGUGGCUCACGCUGAUAAGGAUGUGAGCGGCAGAAAGCAGGCCCAGGCGACUGUUUACCAAAAACACAGCCAUCUGCGAACCGGCAACGGGACGUAUAGGUGGUGACACCUGCCCGGUACCGGAAGGUUAAGGGGAGGGGUUAGCAGGAAUGCGAAGCUCCGAACCGAAGCCCCGGCAAACGGCGGCCGUAACUAUAACGGUCCUAAGGUAGCGAAAUUCCUUGUCGGGUA